rfam:Capsella rubella cultivar Monte Gargano unplaced genomic scaffold scaffold_3, whole genome shotgun sequence.
CUUCUGCUGUGAUGAUUUUAUGAGAAUUCACAUGUCAGACUUCAGAGAUUCUUGCAAUCUAUGAGAAUAAACUCAUAUAUAUCUGAGCAGAUG